UACAGAGGUCCCAAGCGUUACUGAGAAUCACUGGGUUUAAAGGGUGCGUAGGUGGUCCGUUAAGUCAGUUGUGAAAUCCCCGGGCUCAACCCGGGAAAUGCUUCUGAUACUGGCGGACUUGAGGCCAGUAGGGGUCACUAGAACUGACGGUGGAGCGGUGAAAUGCGUAGAUAUCGUCAGGAAUGCCGGUGGUGAAGACGGGUGACUGGGCUGGUUCUGACGCUGAGACGCGAAAGCGUGGGGAGCGAACAGG
rnacentral:rRNA from 1 species